AAAUGCGAUAAGUAAUGUGAAUUGCAGAAUUCAGUGAAUCAUCGAAUCUUUGAACGCACAUUGCGCCCGCCAGUAUUCUGGCGGGCAUGCUUGUCCGAGCGUCAUUUCAACCAUCAAGCCCCCGGGCUUGUGUUGGGGACCUGCGGCUGCCCGCAGGCCCUGAAAACCAGUGGCGGGCUCGCUGUCACACCGAGCGUAGUAGCAAUCACCUCGCUCAGGGCGUGCUGCGGGUUCCGGCCGUUAAACAGCCUUACAAAACCCAAGGUUGACCUCGGAUCAGGUAGAAAGACCCGCUGAACUUAAGC
rnacentral:misc_RNA from 1 species